GAUGAACGCUGGCGGCGUGCUUAACACAUGCAAGUCGAACGGACAGACGAGGAGCUUGCUGCUCGGACGUUAGCGGCGGGCGGGUGAGUAACACGUGGAUAACCUACCUGUAAGACUGAGAUAACUUCGGGAAACCGGAGCUAAUACCGUAUGAUAUAUUGAAGCGCAUGGUUCGAUAGUGAAAGACGGUUGUGGUGGAUCUUAUAGAUGGAUCCGCGCCGGAUUAGGUAGUUGGUAAGGUAACGGCUUACCAAGGCAACGAUGCGUAGCCGACCUGAGAGGGGGAUCGGCCACACUGGAACUGAGACACGGUCCAGACUCCUACGGGAGGCAGCAGUAGGGAAUCUUCGGCAAUGGGCGAAAGCCUGACGGAGCAACGCCGCGUGAGUGAUGAAGGUCUUCGGAUCGUAAAACUCUGUUAUUAGGGAAGAACAAAUUUGUAAUUAAAUAAGCAGGUCUUGACGGUACUUAAUCAAAAAGCACCGGCUAACUACGUG
rnacentral:rRNA from 1 species